rnacentral:rRNA from 1 species
CAGUAGCCGCGGGAAAACGGAGGGUGCAAGCGUUAAUCGGAAUUACUGGGCGUAAAGCGUGCGUAGGCGGUUCGUUAAGUCUGUUGUGAAAGCCCCGGGCUCAACCUGGGAAUGGCAAUGGAUACUGGCGAGCUAGAGUGUGUCAGAGGAUGGUGGAAUUCCCGGUGUAGCGGUGAAAUGCGUAGAGAUCGGGAGGAACAUCAGUGGCGAAGGCGGCCAUCUGGGACAACACUGACGCUGAGGCACGAAAGCGUGGGGAGCAAACAGGAUUAGAUACCCCAGUAGUCCCUGUCUCUUAUAA